GGCCUCAUCGUCUAGCGGCUAGGACAUCAGGUUCUCAUCCUGAAAACAGGGGUCCGAUUCCCCUUGAGGCUACCA
rnacentral:tRNA from 1 species